UCUAAUAUGGCCUUACCCACCAAGACAGAAGCCUGUAGUAGUACAAAUGCGCUCGAAGCAAGACUGACCUUUGGAAUACCAAAGCGCCAAUGCGCUUUCAGAGGAUUCGAUGAUCCCGAAUUCUGGCCAGUCACCCCACUAAUGCCAUUCCGGUGUUCUUUCAUGGAUGCCAGAACACAAGAGAUUCCGUUGUGAAAGGUGUAAUAAAUAACAUAGUUUUUUUCUGCGCUGAUUGCAACUGCAUAAAAAAAAAGAUUUAUGUUUGUCCUGGUGGCGGCAAACCCGCCCCAGAAACAACAAGUGCGCAAAAGACAUGGGUGAAAAAAUAUUUCAGCGGCCGCGAAGCCAAAGCCUUCAUAUUUCGUUGUGAAAGAUUUUCCCGUAGGUGAUCAUGCGGAGGGAUCAUUACACAACGACAAUAUGAAGGCUUUGUCAUAAGCGGCCGGCUGAAAUAUUUUUUUCACCCAUGUCUUUUGCGCACAUGAAAAAAAAAAAGGCGGGUUCGCCCGCCACCAGGACCAAACCAUAAACCUUUUUUUUAAUGCAGUUGCAAUCAGCGUCAGUAAAAAACAAUGUAAUUAUUACAACUUUCAACAACGGAUCUCUUGGUUCUGGCAUCGAUGAAGAACGCAGCGAAAUGCGAUACGUAGUGUGAAUUGCAGAAUUCAGUGAAUCAUCGAAUCUUUGAACGCACAUUGCGCCCUUUGGUAUUCCAAAGGGCAUGCCUGUUCGAGCGUCAUUUGUAGAAUCAAGCUUUGCUUGGUGUUGGGCGUUUUUUGUCUCCCUCUUGCUGGGAGACUCGCCUUAAAACGAUUGGCAGCCGGCCUACUGGUUUCGGAGCGCAGCACAUAUUUUGCCCUCUGUUCAGGAGAAAAGGACGGUAAUCCAUCAAGACUCUACAAAUUUAACUUGACCUCGAUCAGGUAGUACGG
rnacentral:rRNA from 1 species